UACGGGGGGUGCAAGCGUUGUCCGGAUUUACUGGGCGUAAAGGGCGCGUAGGCGGUUGUAUCAGUCGGGCUUAUAAGUGCGGGGCUCAACCCCGUGAUGGGUUCGGGACGGUAUGACUGGGGCGCGGUCGAGGGAGACGGAAUGCCGGGUGUAGUGGUGAAAUGCGCAGAUAUCAGGAGGAACACCGGUGGCGAAGGCGGGUCUCUGGGCCGAUACUGACGCUGAGGAGCGAAAGCGUGGGGAGCGAACAGG
rnacentral:rRNA from 1 species